CAAAAAAAUUUAAUUUUAGUUUUUUUAUUAAUUUAUUCAUUCAAUUAUAUGAAUAUCAUGUUUUAAUAAUCAUUUUUCAGUAAUUAGUAUUUUUAUUAUUAUUUUUUAAUCAAUAAAGGAAUUGAAUCAAAAAUAGAUUAAAUUUGUGCCAGCAUUCGCGGUUAGACAAUUUAUUAUAAUUAAUCUUAUAGAAUAUAGUUUUUAUUUGUUAGUGAAAUUAUUAUUAAAAUAUUUAGGUGGAAUUUAUUUAUUGAAAUAAAUUUCUUAAGGAUACUAGGAAAAUUUAAUUAUAAAACUAGGAUUAGAUACCCUAUUAUAUUUAUGUAAAUUUUUUAUUCAGAAUAUGUAUUAGCUAAGUUCUUUAAAGCUCAAAAAAUUUGGCGGUAAGAUAUUUUUUUAGAGGAAUCUGUAGGUUAAUUGAUAAACCACGAUAGUUUACACCUUUAUUUUUUAUUUGUAUAUCGCUAUUAUAGUCGAAUGUUUUUUAAGGAUAUUUUCUUUAACUUUAUAAGAUUAACAUUAGGUCAAGGUGCAGUUUUUUUAAGGUUUCUAUGGAUUACUAUUAUAAUAAAUAUCAUAAAGAUGAAUAUUCUCAAUAGAUAUUUUGAAUGGGGAUUUAAUAGUAAUUUUAAUAAAUUUAUUAAUUUGAAUUUUACCCUAUUUUAUGUACAUAUCGCCCGUCACUCCUAAUUAAACUAGGAUAAGUCGUAACAAAGUAACUCCACCGGAAGGUGGAGUUAGAAUGAAAAAAUAAAA
rnacentral:ncRNA from 1 species